AGCUAUGACAAAGCUUCUGAGUUGCCCCCAGGUGUUUUAUCACACAAGUUUGCGGAGUAUGCUAUAUCAGGCCUGACAGAAACCAGUGAAAAGUAUGGAAGCCGCAAUUUAUCUGCACCCAUCAAAGCAAAUCUACAUUUUUCUUUGAGUAGAAGUGGAAUUAUUUCUCUUGAUAGGGCAGAAGCAGUGAUUGAGAUAACUGAAUGGGUUGAAGUUCCAAAGAAGAACGUAA